GUCCCUACAACAUCCAUUUUAUCCACAGCUGGUACACAACUAAUGAUUCAACUAGGUCAUUUAUUUAUAUUUUAAAUUGCCUUCUAUGCUCGGUCAUAAGCCUACUUAACACUGUAUAAUCUAAAGCCCUGGUUCUGCUAUAGAUCUGGUAAGUAAAAGUGUUUUACAAAUGAGUUCUACCGAAAUAUUUUAAAUGUUUGCCCUUCCCACUCCCAUUUCCUAAUCCCUAUUCCAUGAAGUUUAGGUCAAUACAACAGUUUAUGUAUGUUGACAUUUACAGAAGAAGAAUUCAAACAGAGGUGAAAUGAAAGAGAUUGAUCUUUGAGCACUUUCCCAUGAAAAUGUUGUUAUAUAUCCUUUAUGAUAUAAAAUUUUAAAUCAUAGAAUUAUAAAUAUUUGUAAGAAGCAUAUUCAUAUUUUAAUUAAAAAGAAAGGACCAAAAGAAGUUAAAUGCCUUUCCUUUGUCUAUAUGACUGUAUUGUAAAAAAUUAGUCUUCUCUCUCUGGAUGAAUAUCAGCAAAACUAACUUUCUAUGUAUUUCUUUUGAGUUUCAAACAGCAAACUUUAUCUGGGAAUACUUUAACAGUUCAUCUCUGGAAAUUUACAAGAGCUCUACAACUGUCCAUUGAAACUUCACUAUAGUGUGCUUAAGAGCCCUUAUAUGUGAUAUAAUUUUUAUAUGUUUUUGUAAGGAUAUCUUUAUGGACAAAUUCCAAAUGACUAAACGUGUAUGUGUAUGUGUGUUUCACACAUUGUUAGCAUAAAGUAAGUUCUUACUGUUAUCGUUAGACUUACACAGAUGAAUAGAUGGACAAAUAGGUAGGUAGGUCUGUUCAGAAUGAUAUCAUCUUGGUUGGAUUGCCAUUUAGUAUCAGAAAAGAAAGUGUUCUUUUCAAUACCUAUGAUUUAAGGAACAUUUUGCUAUAAGCUCUAAUAUUUCCUAAUUUCCAUUCAAAACAAUACACCAAAUGAGAAGGACGGAAAGAAUAGUCAAGGCUUCUACCUAUGAAUCAAGACAAUGGAUGUGGCCAAUAAGUCUACCAUGUCUGAAUUUAUUUUGCUGGGGCUCUCUAAUUCCUGAGAAUUACAGAUGUUUUUCUUUAUGGUGUUUUCAUUGUUUUAUGUGGCAACAAUGGGAAUAUUUUCAAAACUGUGCUGCUUUUUGCAAUAUAAAACUGUGGAAUCUUUUGGAAGAGACGCUAUUGAUUUUCUGUGCUUUUGUGGAGAAUUCUAAAACUCAAGAACAUUUGCCAAAAUACCCUCAAAGGUGUAGCUGAUCAGCAGACAACUCUAUAAGACAAGAUGCUGACACUCUUUUACCGAGGAUAACUGCAGUGACAUGGCCAUGGACUCGUUAGGCAAUAGUAAGGAUGGGGCCAGCUGCCACCGGAGUUUCCAGAGACAGAGAUAAUGUUCUGCAGAGAAUACAAGAUAAGCACACAAGUAUAAUUUUAAGUGAUCUGCACUAUCUGCAAUAACACACUUGAGGGAGUUCUGGAGCAUUUAUAAGAAGACUGUUGACAAGCAACUUCAUCUUCCUCUACAUGUUUAGGAAGCUGUGAAGCUUGACAAUAAUUGAAUGCAGAUGGAAAAACUGUUAAAAAUCAGGUAUAGAUAAAAGCAGACAAAGUGUAAAUUUUAAUAUGUGAAGGAACUGGAUAUAUGUAAUAGCAAUAAAACUACAAAUUAUGUUUGUUUCUAAAAAUGCUUAAGAAAACUUUUAGAAUACUAUAUGGUAUAAUGAUGGUGGAUUUACCAUAAAGCUAGUAAAGCUUAGGGUUUAUAACUCCUCCUUUGCAUGGAUUUCCUCGAAGGCCCUAGAAUGGAAACUAACAACCUUUUAUUAGUUAUUUUGAUUUUUUUUCCUGAAACAGGUGUCCUCGAACUGUAUAAGCUUUAAGCCUAGCUUGUCCAACCCAUGACCUGCAGGUUGCAUGCGGCUCAGGAGAUGGCUUUCAAUUCAGCCCAACACAAAUUCGUAAGCUUUCUUAAAACAUUAUGGGAUUUUCUUGUGAUUUUUUUGUAAAGCUCAUCAGCUAUCUUUAGUAUCAGUGUAUUUUAUGUAUGGCCCAAGACAAUUCUUCUUCCAAUGUGGCCCAGAGAAGCCAAAAGUUUGGACACCCCUGCAUUAAAAGGCUCUGCAGAAUCUGAAGUCUAAUGUGCAGUUUUAAAAGUCUUAGACUCUGGUAUCUUUUUUUUUUAAACCAGUGUUUAAUACUACUUCUACUACUAGUGGUGUAAACUUAAGCUAAGUACUUAAUGCCUCUUAGCCUCAGUUUCUACAUACGUUAAAGGAGAUAAUAGUGGUCUCUACACCACAGAGUUAUUUGAGGCAUAAAAGAAGUAAAUAAUAUAAAGCAUAUAGUUGUCAAUAAAUGUUAGUCAUUGUAUCAUUCUGGGUGAUAAUCUCUGGAUAUCUUUGUUUAUGGGACUUGAUAGUCUCUUGAGCUAACAAUUGACUCGUUUAAUUUAAAAGGUAAAUUUUCAUUUAUAUGUUUUAAACAUUCAUGUCUGUAUAUGUGUGUAUAAAUAUUCAUGUCUGUAUAUGUGUGUCAGUAUUAAUUUGAAAAAUUAAAAGUAACUUCCACUAGAAAAUUACACUGGUUCUUACAUUAAUUAAAGCUUCUGGAAACUUGUUUUUCUGUCUGUUCACAAUUGUCAUUAAUCAAGAGAAGUAUCAAGUUGUUGCUUAAUCAUUAUGCUAUUGCUUCUUUACAAUGAAUAAAUAUUAAAUUGGUUUAUUGAUUUUAGGAUGAAUUCACAUUACAAUUGUCAGAAUAAGAAUGAUGUUUGACUCAUAUUAUUAAGGUAAAGAGAUAAGCAGAUGGAUGGAUUAGUAGAUAGAUAAAGUUUUGUAUUACAUGAGCUGUCUUAUGUGAAGUAUUUUUCUGCAUUGAUAAGGGUUUAGGAUAAUGUGAUCACUGGAUUAUGCUACUAUAUAGAAGUUCUUGGUAAAAUGCUGUUAUUUGUGCAUAUCCAGAUUCUUUAUGAAAGUAUUUUCAAAUUUAAAAAACUACCUGUGAAUCUCUUCUCUACAUGUGAGUUUUUAAACAACUCAGUUAUAGCAAAAUUUGUUGAGAGAGUUGGAGUAAUCCUCCUAUUUCCCUAUUCUUUCCCUGAUAUUAUUUUGCCUGAUUUUCAGAGGUAUGUGUCAAUUGAAAGAUGGUGAGAAGAAAACAGCCAGAGAAAUCUAAUUCAUGUGAACUUCUUGCAUGUGCUCUGAGAUGCCAAUGAAAUCCACUAAGCAACUUGAUAGUUUUUGAGUUUAUAAGUUUCCGUUAUGCUUUGUUGUUUGGAAUUAUUUUUAAUGCUCUUGGUUACACCUAUGAGGUAAAUAUGCACAAAUUAUUCUGGAGUAUGUAGGACCAACACUCAAAUGAGAUUGAAAAUGUGACUGGGAUCAUUGAUUGAUGUAUUCUGUCUGUAUUGUUGCUAAUAUAACUCAAUUGACAUGUUGUUUAUUUUUUCUCUUUGAUUUUUGUAAAACAAACAAAUUCCAAUAUCUAGUAUGUACUAAAAUAUUAUACUUUCAUUUUUAUUUUUUACUCUGAUGAUUUACACUGCCAAUAUAAGGAGAUGUAUACCUAUUUUUUAAAUUAAAAAAUGUUCUCGGACUGGAGGCUCCAGGUUUUUUUCCCCCAUUAGCCUUUUUAUGACUACUAAAUGCAAGACCACUGUUAAUUCGCCUUUUUUCUUUACGUUUUAACUGUACUAGGAAUCUGAAGCCAUCAACAAAAGCUAGAUUUUUCUCCCUUUGCUCACUUGCCACCUGUUAAAAUUUAAAGGAGAGAUUUUUUUUUUUUAGUUUGAGACUAGAAAUAGCAAUUUAAUUAAUAAUUUGUUUUUAUAUAAUAAUAUAUUUAUAUCUAAAUUUUUUCUUCUUGUUUGAAUAUACUUAUAUUGGUUGUCCUACAGUUAAGAAAACAGAAACCAUUGGGUAAAUUAAGCAGAUUUAAUACAAUGUAUUAAAUGCUUAUGAAUAAUUCAAAGACUUACAGGAACAUUCAUUGGAGGCUGCUACUGGAGCUACUGUGUUCCAGAGCACGUUACACCAGUAAUGUGAUGUAAGGGCAAAAGGCAAAAAGCCUUGGUGUCAUUGCCACUCCUUCAUCACCCUCAACACUCUUGAAGGUGGUGAAUAGUCAGUGGACACAGGUAUGGCUGCCACAAUUGCUUUCCCUCACAUCUCAUCAUCAUCUUGCUCACCAGCAGCAAUUAUAUCAGUAGAUCCCUCUGCCUCACUUGUGCUUUCUAAAGCUCAUUUGGUGCAUCUAAUUGGUGGAAUCUACUUUGCACAGAGAAACUUGGCUUUAAAAAUCAAUUUGUAGAUUUCAAGAUUCUUAUGCAACAGAAAACAUGCUAAUAGAGGGUGGAUUGGAGGGAGACUCUGUCAAUCAAUCAAUAUCCAUUACUUUAAUUUUUUAAUAACCUUUUUAUUGUAGUGUAAAAGCAAGGUAAAGAAAAAUACACAAACAUAUUUAGCUUAAUGAAAUAUUAUAAGGCAAACACCAUUAUAAUCACAUCUCAAGUCACAAAAUAGAACUUUGCCAGCCACCCCUGAAGUCCUCAAAUUUGUUCAUCUCGAUGACAACCCUCUCCUUCCAAAAUUAACCAUUACCCUGACUUAAUAAAUUAUUUGCAUUUCUUUUCAGUUUCAUGAAUACAUAUAUACUCAAAUAUACAUCCAUACACACUCAAACUUGGCCUCACCAACUUUGUUUCCUUUUCCUGUAGCCUACAAGUCUCACUAUCACUAUCUCUUCAAUUUCUGUGUAAUUUAUCUUUCUUUUUCUUUUUUUUUUUUUUUCUUUUUUUGAGACGGAGUCCAGCUCUGUCGCCCAGGCUGGAGUGCAGUGGCGCGAUCUCUGCUCAUUGCAAGCUCUGCCUUCCGGAUUCACGCCAUUCUCCUGCCUCAGCCUCCUGAGCAGCUGGGACUAUAGGUGCCCACCACCACACCUGGCUAAUUUUUUGUAUUUUUAGUAGAGACGGGGUUAUAAUUUAUCUUUUGAAAAACCUGAGUUAUUUACCAUGUAGGAUCUCCCAGAGUCUGAAAUGUGCUGAUUGCAUGCUCAUGGUACAGUUCAACAUGUACUUCUGUCACUGUAUUUUCUGCAAAUUGCCUAUCCAAUGGCUUAAUCAUAUUUAGUUUGAUACUUUUUGCAAGACAAAUGACAGAUGAUGUUAUAUUUUUGCAUCCAAAAGAUCUUGAUGUCUUGCUUUAUCUCUUUUGGGAAUGAUAGUGCUGUCGUUGCUGUAGUAGUUGAUACCUCUAACCAUUUUUGUCGGCUAAAGCUUAUUCUCUACUAUAUUCCUCAGGAAUUCUUCUUGAAGACCCUAUUCUCUGAAUUCUGGCAUGUUGGCAAGUUUCUUUGAAACAUAAGUGUUUCAAAGUCAAUUUUGCUGUAAAUUCAUUGGCUAUUCAUUUUCUUGAUUAUCUUAAAUUGAAAUAAUGACUCUCUUUGUAAGCACUUUGUCUGGAGUCUGCAAAGCCUGUAUUUCUCUUCACUCACCCUAGCAUACCAUACAAUUAGAAGUUUGGAACUGAUCUUUUAAUUUUUGGAGGGAAGUAUUAACAACCCUUCUGAUAUUUAUAUUAGUAGUCUCUCUAAAGUAAUUAAAUAGGACUCCAUUGCACUCAAGAGAUUUUAAAACAUUUAAAUUUCUAAAUUUCCUUUAAGUAUAUUAAAAUGUAACUAAAUAAAAUUGUUCUUCAAGAGUAACAUGUAAUUGAAUCAUCAACAUAUUCAUAUAACUUUUCCAAUUUUUAAAAGAAAGAUACCUCUCUUGCAGCUCAAUUACUUUUUAAAUAAAAUAAAUUUGAAUCCCUGUUCGUACCUGGAGACCUUUUUGAUCUGCUCUCCUCACCUCACAUUUCACACAUGGAGAAAAAAAGUCUGCAC
rnacentral:sRNA from 1 species